UGACUGGGGCGGUCGCCUCCUAAAGCGUAACGGAGGCGCGCGAAGGUUGGCUCAGAGCGGUCGGAAAUCGCUCGUUGAGUGCAAUGGCAGAAGCCAGCCUGACUGCAAGACUGACAAGUCGAGCAGAGUCGAAAGACGGCCAUAGUGAUCCGGUGGUCCCAAGUGGGAGGGCCAUCGCUCAACGGAUAAAAGGUACGCCGGGGAUAACAGGCUGAUACUGCCCAAGAGUCCAUAUCGACGGCAGUGUUUGGCACCUCGAUGUCGGCUCAUCUCAUCCUGGGGC
rnacentral:rRNA from 10 species